rnacentral:rRNA from 1 species
AGCCUAAUACAUGCAAGUCGAGCGCAGGAAGUUAUCUGAUCCUCUUUUAGAGGUGACGAUAAUGGAAUGAGCGGCGGACGGGUGAGUAACACGUAGGCAACCUGCCUGUAAGACUGGGAUAACUCGUGGAAACGCGAGCUAAUACCGGAUAACACUUUUCAUCUCCUGAUGAGAAGUUGAAAGGCGGCUUUUAGCUGUCACUUACAGAUGGGCCUGCGGCGCAUUAGCUAGUUGGUAAGGUAAUGGCUUACCAAGGCGACGAUGCGUAGCCGACCUGAGAGGGUGAUCGGCCACACUGGGACUGAGACACGGCCCAGACUCCUACGGGAGGCAGCAGUAGGGAAUCUUCCGCAAUGGACGAAAGUCUGACGGAGCAACGCCGCGUGAGUGAUGAAGGUUUUCGGAUCGUAAAACUCUGUUGUUAGGGAAGAACAAGUGCCAUAGUAAGCUGAUGGCACCUUGACGGUACCUAACCAGAAAGCCACGGCUAACUACGUGCCAGCAGCCGCGGUAAUACGUAGGUGGCAAGCGUUGUCCGGAAUUAUUGGGCGUAAAGCGCUCGCAGGCGGUUCUUUAAGUCUGAUGUGAAAUCUUACGGCUCAACCGUAAACGUGCAUUGGAAACUGGGGAACUUGAGUGCAGAAGAGGAGAGUGGAAUUCCACGUGUAGCGGUGAAAUGCGUAGAGAUGUGGAGGAACACCAGUGGCGAAGGCGACUCUCUGGUCUGUAACUGACGCUGAGGAGCGAAAGCGUGGGGAGCGAACAGGAUUAGAUACCCUGGUAGUCCACGCCGUAAACGAUGAGUGCUAGGUGUUAGGGGGUUUCCGCCCCUUAGUGCUGAAGUUAACGCAUUAAGCACUCCGCCUGGGGAGUACGGCCGCAAGGCUGAAACUCAAAAGAAUUGACGGGGGCCCGCACAAGCGGUGGAGCAUGUGGUUUAAUUCGAAGCAACGCGAAGAACCUUACCAGGUCUUGACAUCCUCUGAACACUCGUAGAGAUAGAGUUUUCCCUUCGGGGACAGAGUGACAGGUGGUGCAUGGUUGUCGUCAGCUCGUGUCGUGAGAUGUUGGGUUAAGUCCCGCAACGAGCGCAACCCUUGAUCUUAGUUGCCAGCAUUCAGUUGGGCACUCUAAGGUGACUGCCGGUGACAAACCCGGAGGAAGGUUGGGGACGACGUCAAAUCAUCAUGCCCCUUAUGACCUGGGCUACACACGUAGCUACAAUAGGAUGGAACAAAGGGCACCCA